rnacentral:rRNA from 1 species
ACCGUCCGCAUCAGCUCAUGGUUUAAAUCCCGUCGCUCCAAGAAGGGGCCACGAGGCGACAUAACCUUCAGCAACAAGUUACGCAACCGGCCACCUGCCGAAUAAUAACUGGGCAAAUAUAUUAUAUUGGAAGGCUAGAGCUCAUCCCGUUUAUUCAGCUAUGCCGAAGUUUAGACGACCAGAGCAGUUUUAAUUAUAUUUGAACAUCAUCAUCGUCACGCAGUGAAGAUCAUCUCCUAUGACCAACGGAGGUCUAACUUUGUGAUUUCGUCUUAUCGCAACGCAGCGUAGCAGCCAGCGGUUUCCUAAGGUCUUAUCGCUGCAGUACUGAAGUUAUAUUUCGUGUUUUAUUUUGAUUCUUGAUUUUCUUUUGUAUUGCGAUUUAUAAUGAAUUAAAUACUCGCAGAUUGACGGAACUUUGGGCAUUUGAAUAGGAAUUUAACCUUUAAAGUUUGACCUACAGCUCGACCAUGUCAACGUGAACUUGGGCCCAACUUUACGCACAUCAUGGAGUGGAUAUUUAAGGUCGUGAGUACUACAACAACAAUGAUAAAAACAUUAUUAUGAAUUACCUGUAUUAAAAUUCUAACAAAAUGCCACUCGAACGUCUAAAUAAAAUAAUAUCUGCAUUUGACUAAAGAUUAUGUAACUAUAUUUGCUAAUUUUAUUUUCAAUUACUUAUAUAUAUUUGCUUUAUACUUUACUUUUAUAUACUUUAUUUUACCCACUGAAUAUAAACGAAAAUGAAGAGAUUGAGAAUGACUAGGAUAAUUAUGCGUAGAUAAAAAUUUGUUAGUUUGUAAAAGAGAUUUAAUGGAAACGUUUACUAAACUGAAUUUAUAUAAAUGGAAUUAUGAUUGAAGAUAUAUUGAAAAAUAAUGAAUUGUGAAUAAAUAGAUUUAAUGGUUUGUCGAGUACUUAUGUUGAACAUUUUCUUAAAUAUGUGGUAGAGUUGUUUUGAACUUGGCCAAGGGACAAUGUAAAUAUUUUAAGUAGCAUUGUCAUGGUAGGGAGGGUAAAGACUUAGGGAAUUAUUAACAUCCAAAAUUCCCAAUACUUAUCAGAAUCUGUAGCUGAUCUUCACACGUGUCGGCGUGUAUCAUUAGUAUCAAUAUAAAGCCAUUUCUUUUUUUUUAAUUAAGAAAUUAGCGGUCAAAUACAAGCUGAAGCGUGGAUACCCGCUGAAGGAGAACGGCUGGCUAUAUGGCGAGGAAAGUGCGCGUCUAAGCCGGGAGCAAAAAGAGAUUCGCCUAGAGGAAUGCUUGUUAUUGAGUUUGCAAAGCAGAUGGGAUGACGACAGCGAACCAGGACGGGUGACGCACAGGUUCAUUCCGGACGUCACCCUUGUCUAUCGGGAUCCAAAUUUUGGUUUCUCGCUGAUGGCGUCAUUCUUGCUCACUGGGCACGGGUCGUUCAACGCAUUUCUGCAUGGGAGAGCCCUCAGCGAUACCACUGCUUGCGAGUGUGGUGAUCCAUACGAGGAUUGGGUGCACGUGUUGUGCACCUGCCCCCUAUAUGCAGAUUUGCGAGACCUCGAUGGACUUGGAGUGCAGCGCGUUGGCGAGGACUGGAUAUUUGAAAGAAUCCUGGAGGAUCGGGAGAAAACCCAACGGCUUCGCUGAGUUGGCGUUCCGCAGAAGAAGGGGCACUUAGCCUGACGCUUCGCCGUGUGGUUAGCGGGCGAGAAUACUGCCACAGCUUGCCGAAGCUUGUGGUAGGAGACGACUAAUGCGGCAAUAGGUCACUCCGCCCGUGCUUGUCGGCUAGGUAGAUCUCGCUCCUCAGCAUGGGUGAGUGCUUGGGAGACCGGGACGUUUUGUCUAGCGUAUCUGGACACAUGCAUCAUAUGCUCACUUGUGGGUGUAUAGUAUGCCGUGGUUGUAAUCCCUUCAAUGUGGAACACGCCACAUAAAACAAGUUCGGAGGGAUCCGAUUCAAACACUGUCCCUAUCUACUAUCUAGCGAAACCACAGCCAAGGGAACGGGCUUGGAAUAAUUAGCGGGGAAAGAAGACCCUUUUGAGCUUGACUCUAAUCUGGCAGUGUAAGGAGACAUAAGAGGUGUAGAAUAAGUGGGAGAUAUUAGACCUCGGUUUGGUAUCGUCAAUGAAAUACCACUACUCUUAUUGUUUUCGUACUUACUUGAUUAAAUGGAACGUGUAUCAUUUCCUAGCCAUUAUACGGAUAUAUUUACUAUAUCUUAUGGUAUUGGGUUUUGAUGCAAGCUUCUUGAUCAAAGUAUCACGAAUUUGUUAUAUAAUCGCAAACAAAUUCUUUAAUAAAACGAUGAAUUUAUGUAUUUUUGAUUUGAAAAUUUGGUAUAACUCCAAUUACUCAGGUAUGAUCCAAUUCAAGGACAUUGCCAGGUUGGGAGUUUGACUGGGGCGGUACAUCUCUCAAAUAAUAACGGAGGUGUCCCAAGGCCAGCUCAGUGCGGACAGAAACCACACAUAAAGCAAAAGGACAAAUGCUGACUUGAUCUCGGUGUUCAGUACACACAGGGACAUCAAAAGCUCAGCCUAUCUUUUGGUUUAAAGAGUUUUUAACAAGAGGUGUCAGAAAAGUUAUCAUAGGGUAACUGGCUUGAGGCGGCCAAGCUAUUAUAGUGAUCAUUGUGAAGCAAAAUUCACCAAGCGUUGGAUUGUUCACCCAUUCAAGGGAACGUGAGCUGGGUUUCGACCGUCGUGAGACAGGCUAGUAUUACCCUACUAAUGACAAAACGUUGUUGCGAAAAGGGGCAAUUUUCAUUGUAUGGCUUCUAAACCAUUUAAAGUUUAUAAUUUACUUUAUAAACGACAAUGGAUGUGAUGCCAAUGUAAUUUGUAACAUAGUAAAUUGGGAGGAACUUCGAUCACCUGAUGCCGCGCUAGUUACAUAUAAAAGCAUUAUUUAAUACAAUGACAAAGCGUAAAAUCUAUUGUAAACGACUUUUGUAGCAGGCAAGGUGUUGUAAGUGGUUGAGCAGCUGCCAUACUGCGACCCACUGAAGCUUAUCGUUUGCUUGAUGAUU